UGGGGGAUAUUGCACAAUGGGCGAAAGCCUGAUGCAGCGACGCCGCGUGGGGGAUGAAGGCCUUCGGGUUGUAAACUUCUUUUGCUCUGAACAAGGCAUGCUAAUGGGUGUGUUGAGUGUAGGGGUUGAUUAGCGCCGGCUAACUACGUGCCAGCAGCCGCGGUAAUACGUAGGGCGCGAGCGUUGUCCGGAAUUAUUGGGCGUAAAGGGCUUGUAGGUGGCUGGUUGCUUCUGUCGUGAAAGCUCAUGGCUUAACUGUGGGUUUGCGGUGGGUACGGGCUGGCUUGAGUGCAGUAGGGGAGGCUGGAAUUCCUGGUGUAGCGGUAGACUGCGCAGAUAUCAGGAGGAAUACCGGUGGCGAAGGCGGGUCUCUGGGCUGUUACUGACACUGAGGAGCGAAAGCAUGGGGAGCGAACAGG
rnacentral:rRNA from 1 species